AGAGUUUGAUCUGGCUCAGGAUGAACGCUAGCGGCAGGCCUAAUACAUGCAAGUCGAACGGAUAUGGAAGCUUCGGUUUCUAUAUUAGUGGCGCACGGGUGCGUAACGCGUAUGCAACCUACCUUUUACUGGGGGAUAGCCCGAAGAAAUUCGGAUUAAUACCGCAUACUCCUAUUUGAGGGCAUCUGAGGAUAGGGAAAGAUUUAUUGGUAAAAGAUGGGCAUGCGUGCCAUUAGCUAGUUGGUGCGGGUAACGGCCCACCAAGGCGACGAUGGCUAGGGGUUCUGAGAGGAUGAUCCCCCACACUGGUACUGAGAUACGGACCAGACUCCUACGGGAGGCAGCAGUAGGGAAUAUUGGGCAAUGGACGAGAGUCUGACCCAGCCAUGCCGCGUGCAGGAUGAAGGCCUUCUGGGUUGUAAACUGCUUUUAUCUAGGAAGAAAAAACUCUUGCGAGAGGAACUGACGGUACUAGAGGAAUAAGCACCGGCUAACUCCGUGCCAGCAGCCGCGGUAAUACGGAGGGUGCAAGCGUUGUCCGGAUUUAUUGGGUUUAAAGGGUGCGUAGGCGGCCCAUUAAGUCCGUGGUGAAAGCCAACAGCUCAACUGUUGAACUGCCAUGGAUACUGAUGGGCUUGAGUACAGACGAGGUAGGCGGAAUGGAUGCUAGCGGUGAAAUGCAUAGAUAGCAUCCAGAACCCCGAUUGCGUAGGCAGCUUACUAGGCUGUAACUGACGCUGAGGCACGAAAGCGUGGGGAGCGAACAGGAUUAGAUACCCUAGUAGUCC
rnacentral:rRNA from 1 species